GAUGAAGAACGCAGCGAAAUGCGAUACGUAAUGUGAAUUGCAGAAUUCAGUGAAUCAUCGAGUCUUUGAACGCACAUUGCGCCCCCUGGUAUUCCGGGGGGCAUGCCUGUCCGAGCGUCAUUGCUGCCCUCAAGCACGGCUUGUGUGUUGGGCCUCCGUCCUCCUCCCGGGGGACGGGCCCGAAAGGCAGCGGCGGCACCGCGUCCGGUCCUCGAGCGUAUGGGGCUUCGUCACCCGCUCUUGUAGGCCCGGCCGGCGCUUGCCGACACAUCAAUCUUUUUUCCAGGUUGACCUCGGAUCAGGUAGGGAUACCCGCUCAACUUAAGCAUAUCAAUAAGCGGAGGA
rnacentral:misc_RNA from 1 species